UUGUUUUACAGCUUUAUUAAAUUUUUUAGGCAAACUGGAAGGACAACAAUGAGAAUUGUAUAAACGAAAAUCUUGAGAAUGCAAACAUUCCCAUUAUAUUUAUUAAGGAAUCAUCUCUUUGUGACAUGAAUAUGGACUAUUCAGAUUCAGACCUGAGACUUCAUUUAAGAGAAAUAGACAACUUCGGUGAUGAUUCGUUUUCAAUAUCAAAUAAUGGAGAUGUAAGUAUACAUUCAUCAACACCAGUACGUCCUAAAACGCCUGAUUCAGGUUUAUCGCGUGUAAAAUUAUUUUCGGUGUAGAAAAUCGUAUUACGAUGAGUGUGACUUUAAACUUAUGACAUCGUUUCUGCAUGGAAUAGUAUCACAUUAACAUUUACCUAUAAGUUUAAGGUAUCACAUUGAAACAUAUAUAACUUCAUUUCAGAUAAGUUUGAUGUCAUACUCGUUUCAUUUUAACAUUUUUAAAUAAUGAUCUCGAACAUUGCAAUGUGAUAUUUCUGUAAGACGUAGCUACUAGAGCUGCUGGGGUUUAUCUGUUAAGUUUUUUUUACAUCUUUUGAUGGGAACGUGAAUGAUUGGCGUAAAGAUCUACAUUGAAAGUUUUUCUAGAACACCAAAAAACUGAUUUAUGCCUUUUAAACCAAAAAGCAUUAAUAUUUACCAUACAUAUUUUUGCAUUUUAUGUCCAAUCGUUCAUUUUUUUAUUGCAAUAUUUUACCAUAAUGGUGCUGUAUAAACUUCCUUUAUAGUUUGUAAAAGAGUAUUAUGUUUUACAUUACAUAAAUAAUUAUUGCACACUUUUGUGCUACGUUACAUAUUUAUUGUAUCAGAUUAAAGGAGUCAUUGGUUGUUUGUUUGAAGAAAGGUUCUUUUCUUAGAUUAUUUAGAGAAUUUCUGUUAAUUUCGUUCGUUUCAUUUUCAUUGCAAUAAAAAAUUGCUCUCUACUUUAUUGACCACAAAAAAACGCUUGUGUCAAAAAAAGAGAAUCUUACUUUUUUAUGCGUUAUCUCUAGCGUGAGAGUUUAUAUUAUCUGUUAUUUCCUAAUAAAAUUCUCUAAAACUUGCA